GAUGAACGCUGGCGGCGUGCCUAAUACAUGCAAGUCGAGCGAACAGACGAGGAGCUUGCUCCUCUGACGUUAGCGGCGGACGGGUGAGUAACACGUGGAUAACCUACCUAUAAGACUGGGAUAACUUCGGGAAACCGGAGCUAAUACCGGAUAAUAUAUUGAACCGCAUGGUUCAAUAGUGAAAGACGGUUUUGCUGUCACUUAUAGAUGGAUCCGCGCCGCAUUAGCUAGUUGGUAAGGUAACGGCUUACCAAGGCAACGAUGCGUAGCCGACCUGAGAGGGUGAUCGGCCACACUGGAACUGAGACACGGUCCAGACUCCUACGGGAGGCAGCAGUAGGGAAUCUUCCGCAAUGGGCGAAAGCCUGACGGAGCAACGCCGCGUGAGUGAUGAAGGUCUUCGGAUCGUAAAACUCUGUUAUUAGGGAAGAGCAAAUGUGUAAGUAACUAUGCACGUCUUGACGGUACCUAAUCAGAAGGCCACGGCUAACUACGUG
rnacentral:rRNA from 1 species